CAGAUCAGGCAUAUGCAGCUCUGACCCCUCAUCUCGCCCCAUGGUCGACCCUGCCAUGGGCAGGCAUGGGCUGGUCGCUGAGGCCCAGGCUGCGGGUGUGUUCUUGGAAUCAUGAAUCAUGUUUAUAGCCCUAGAUCUCCUGGAGUUCCCUAUGCAAAUGCCAAAGGAAUUGGUUAUCCAGCUUGUUUCCCCAUGGGCUAUGCAGCAGCAGCUCCUGCCUAUUCUCCUAACGUGUACCCGGGAGCAAAUCUUACCCCUCCAAAAGGUUACGCUCCCCACAUGCCUUACAAAGUGUCCUGUUCCCUACCAGUGGGGCCCAACCCUACUGCCAUGAACUCUGUGAAAUGCCAACCCCCAGUAAAGCCCAUACACACAGCAAGUCACAUACUAAACACAGCUGCUGUAUGUGGAAACCCCACCUACCACCCAUCACCCAUCAUGUCAUUCACCACACCACGGUGGUGCAGCAUGCCGUGAUGUACCCUGCUCCCUCCUCCCAGUCACCAUGGCAUGGUUGCUAGGACCAUUAUGGCCAUGUCAGUAAGUACCCUGCUGACUGCUCACUCCCCAACUCCUGUUGCCCCCCACCCAGUCACUGUGCCCACCUACCAGACCCCAGGAACACCCAGCUAUAGCUAUGUGCUCCCUCAGUGGUUAUCACCCUGCAAAUGUUUGAGAAUGGAGCUAUGCAGUCACAUCGUUGAGGUUCUGCAGCUAGUGCUACAGGCCUUGUGCCUCCAACCAGGACUUUUUUCUUAAUGCUCUAGACACUUGGCUAAACACGACUACAUCCUGGCCCAGCAGGUCCCAGUGCUGUUAGUUUCCAGCUAAUUCUGUGGGUUGAUCUUAAAGCAAAUCCUGCUUUGUGGACUGCCAGGCAACCUUUUAGCUAACUGUAAUGAUAAAAAAGGAAGUGCUAAUCUAUUCUGAAUCAUAUCUAGUUGAAUGCAUGUUUAAAAAAGAAAACACAAAACAAAGCUUCCUUAAUCUACCUGCAGUGACUGAUGCAAAACUGUCAUAUGCAAAAUCCAAAGGAAUGGAAAUGUAUUUUACAACUUGUG